rnacentral:rRNA from 1 species
GAUGAACGCUGGCGGCGUGCCUAAUACAUGCAAGUCGAGCGAAUGGAUUAAGAGCUUGCUCUUAUGAAGUUAGCGGCGGACGGGUGAGUAACACGUGGGUAACCUGCCCAUAAGACUGGGAUAACUCCGGGAAACCGGGGCUAGUACCGGAUAAUAUUUUGAACUGCAUGGUUCAAAAUUGAAAGGCGGCUUCGGCUGUCACUUCUGGAUGGACCCGCGUCGCAUUAGCUAGUUGGGGAGGGAACGGCUCACCAAGGCAACGAUGCGUAGCCGACCUGGGAGGGUGAUCGGCCACACUGGGACUGAGACACGGCCCAGACUCCUACGGGAGGCAGCAGUAGGGAAUCUUCCGCAAUGGACGAAAGUCUGACGGAGCAACGCCGCGUGAGUGAUGAAGGCUUUCGGGUCGUAAAACUCUGUUGUUAGGGAAGAACAAGUGCUAGUUGAAUAAGCUGGCACCUUGACGGUACCUAACCAGAAAGCCACGGCUAACUACGUGCCAGCAGCCGCCGUAA